GAUGAUCGCUAGCGGGAGGCCUAACACAUGCAAGCCGAGCGGUAGAGUUUCUUCGGAAACUUGAGAGCGGCGCACGGGUGCGUAACACGUGUGCAACCUACCUUUAUCUGGGGGAUAGCCUUUCGAAAGGAAGAUUAAUACCCCAUAAUAUAAUGAUUGGCAUCAAUUAUUAUUGAAAACUCCGGUGGAUAGAGAUGGGCACGAGCAAGAUUAGAUAGUUGGUUAGGUAACGGCUCACCAAGUCAAUGAUCUUUAGGGGUCCUGAGAGGGAGAUCCCCCACACGAGUACUGGGACACGGACCAGACUCCUACGGGAGGCAGCAGUGAGGAAUAUUGGACAACGGGUGAGAACCUGAUCCAGCCAUCCCGCGUGAAGGAUGACGGUCCUAUGGAUUGUAAACUUCUUUUGUACAGGGAUAAACCUACCCUCGUGAGGGUAGCUGAAGGUACUGUACGAAUAAGCACCGGCUAACUCCGUG
rnacentral:rRNA from 1 species